AACGAACGCUGGCGGCAGGCUUAACACAUGCAAGUCGAACGCAUCCUUCGGGGUGAGUGGCAGACGGGUGAGUAACGCGUGGGAACGUGCCCUUCAGUUCGGGAUAACCCAGGGAAACUUGGGCUAAUACCGGAUACGUGCGAGAGCAGAAAGAUUUAUCGCUGAAGGAUCGGCCCGCGUCUGAUUAGCUAGUUGGUGGGGUAAUGGCCCACCAAGGCGACGAUCAGUAGCUGGGCUGAGAGGAUGAUCAGCCACAUUGGGACUGAGACACGGCCCAAACUCCUACGGGAGGAAGCAGUGGGGAAUAUUGGACAAUGGGCGCAAGCCUGAUCCAGCCAUGCCGCGUGAGUGAUGAAGGCCUUAGGGUUGUAAAGCUCUUUCGUCCGGGACGAUAAUGACGGUACCGGAAGAAGAAGCCCCGGCUAACUUCAUAAGAGCAAGCUCUUAAUC
rnacentral:rRNA from 1 species